AGGACGAACGCUGGCGGCGUGCUUAACACAUGCAAGUCGAGCGGAAAGGCCCUUCGGGGUACUCGAGCGGCGAACGGGUGAGUAACACGUGAGUAAUCUGCCCUUAGCUCUGGGAUAGCUCCGGGAAACCGGGAUUAAUACCAGAUACGACCACUUUAGACAUCUGCCGUGGUGGAAAGAAUUUCGGCUAAGGAUGAGCUCGCGGCCUAUCAGCUUGUUGGUGGGUAACGGCCUACCAAGGCGACGACGGGUAGCCGGCCUGAGAGGGCGACCGGCCACACUGGGACUGAGACACGGCCCAGACUCCUACGGGAGGCAGCAGUGGGGAAUAUUGCGCAAUGGGCGAAAGCCUGACGCAGCGACGCCGCGUGGGGGAUGAAGGCCUUCGGGUUGUAAACCCCGUUUCAGCAGGGACGAAGCGAAAGUGACGGUACCUGCAGAAGAAGCGCCGGCUAACUACGCGCCAGCAGCCGC
rnacentral:rRNA from 1 species